AAAGCAAUGCAGAUACAUGUGCCGCCGACAAAAAGGCGUCACCAACAAACACAGGUAACAGCUGAACGCAUGCAAACCAUUUCCGUGUAGCACAAACAGUCUGAUGUACGCAUUCGUCAAGAAAAGUCGUGCGCAGUAACAAGAAAAAAAAUUUAAAAGUGCAAAAAUAUAAAAUAAAAUUACCAAGGAAGAAAUUCAAUAUUUUGCAAUGGUAAUGGCAAUUAGUUCUCAUCCCUGCUGCUUAGAAUAGCCCAAACAACCAGCGGUCAUGUCCUGAAAUUUUAGCAAGCAUUGGAAAUAAAACAAACUAAAAAUUAUUGAGGCCACCGUAGCGCAGAGGUUAGCAUGCCCGCCUAUGACGCUGAACGCCUGGGUUCGAAGCCUGGCGAGACCAUCAGAAAAAUUUUUCAACGGUGAUUUUCCCCUCCUAAUGCUGGCAACAUUUGUGAGGUACUAUGCCAUGUAAAACUUCUUUUCAAAGAGGUGUCGCACUGCGGCACGCCGUUCGGACUCGGCUAUAAAAAGGAGGUCCCUUAUCAUUGAGCUUAAACUUGAAUCGGACUGCACUCAUUGAUAUGUCAGAAGUUUGCCCCUGUUCCUUAGUGGAAUGAUCAUGGGCAAAAUUUGCAAUUUGCAAAAAUUAUUCUGGUCUCUAACUUUGUUUAAAGGAACUUUUAAAAUUGAAAUGCGAAAUACUAUUUAUGCAGCAUGGAAUAUUUUAACGCAAAGGAUUUAUACUACUAAUUACACAUGGACGUACAGCUGUCAUGACUAUAAAAUAUUGUAGAUGGCACUUCUGGAGAAAAUUUGAUGCUUAACCCUAUGCGACUUAUUUUGCAGCAGC